UGUGUGUGUGUGUACGUGUGUGUAAGUUUGUGUGAGAGAAUAUUGCUAUGGCAGUUAGUUAAGUUUGUGUAAUUUGCUGGGCGUCUGCCAGACAGGUCAGAUCUAAGCAGGUCACUCUCACAGAGAACGAUCAGAACUAAUGGUGAUUAUUAAUGAGAACAGGAGGCAAAGUGAAAGAAUAGACAGAACACUGCUCUGGUAGAGAGAUUGGAAAUGCACUUACCCCGCAAAUGACUCCUAACCCAGCGGAAGCCACACACAGGCAAGGAGGUUGCUUCAAUUACUACACCAAGCAGCUGUGAAAAAGAGGUUUAUGCAUGAAAUAUCUCAUCUUAAAAGGUGCUAAUCGUUAAGUGUGGGAGGAAUUCACAAAGCAGUUUAGCGCUUAAAGCAGGAGAAGGAGAAGCUACAUCGAAUGAGCAGGAAGGGAAAUCCAAGAGGAGAAGAUCACCUUUGAUACUGUUCAUUUCUCUUGAGGUUCUGGAAAGGCAAUGGACCCUCUAAUGAUUGGGAAAUAUAUCUGCCUUCGGAAAAUGUUGUACUCAAAUACAAAAUAAUGAAAUAUACUAUACUAUACUAUACUAUACGAUACUAUACUAUACCAUACCAUACCAUACUAUACUAUACUAUACUAUACCAUACUAUACUAUACUAGAGUCCAGUGAAAGGGUGAGAGAAUAAAACUGGAUUAUAUAAUAAGAACAAAAUAGUUUUGUUACAGAUAUCUGCAUCUUUUAAACAUUUAAUUAGCCGCAUGAUAUAUGAAUAAUUUGUGUCUCAGCUAAAGCCAAUGUCAGUUCUUCUCAACCAGCACACUGUCAUACAACCGCUGUCAUAUUCCUGUCAGUAUGUGUGCAUUAUACUCACUUUUCACUUGUUAUAUAAUGAAUAUAAGGUUUUAAAAAAUAAUCAGCAUGAAUAUUCCUCCAGUGACAGUGUAUUUUUGAGACUAUUCUGGUGGCUACGAUGAAACGACGAAUCAGAAUUCACCUGUUAUUCAUAAUAUGCAUAUCAGUUAUUUAUAUCAGUAAUUUACAGGAAUCUGAAUGGAAUCCAACAUUGUUUUCUAUUUUCAAAUUUAGCAACACAAGAACAUUUUGGAGAAUACGGUUAUUGAACACAGUAUCUAUUAAUAGUUACAGAGUUCAUCAUCACUGUGGUAUAGAUGAUAAUGAAGAUUUUUAAUGAUCUGGUAGAAAAGAUGUAAGAUAUGUUUUUGUUCAAAGCCUUUGUUAAGAAUCCAGGAAUAACAAGAUCCAAUGACCUAGCAAGGCUUUAUUGCUUUUAAACUACCCAAUGCAAGCUUUUACACACUUGAUACAUGAUUUAAAGGAUUCAUCUGGAUUUUCUUUCUUUCCAUUAUUUUAUUUUAAUAAUUACCUCGUACCCAAAUGAGACUAUAGACAGCAGAUAUUGGAUUGCAUGACUUCACCCAGGACCUUUAAAUGUUGAAGAGUGACAGACAAUAGAAGCUAUGCUAAUGUGAUGAAUAAAUGGAAGAGUGAAUAUCUUAUUCAAUCACAGUAAUAUAUGGGAGAGAGGGCAUUAAACUGCACAAGCUCAUUUAGGCUGCAGAGUAAUGCUGCAUGUAUUAGCAUAAUGACAAAGUGCUUGUGUUCAGCACCCUCACUUCAGCUUCGAACACUGUAAAAAGUUUCAGAUACGUUCGAUCUGAGCCCGGCUCGUGUUGUAAGCCAAGCCGAACAAAUUAAAAUAUAUGAAUGAAUUAAAAAAGGUUUCUUUUGUGUAAUUGUGAAUCUGUGGAAUGCUAGCUCAUUCCAAUACACCUAAAGGGGUAUUUAAUUUUUAUGGAAUAUGCAAAACCAACAUGCUAACUAUAGAUGUGCGCCAUGUGCGCCAAGGCAAAUAAAUAUGGCUUCUAAACAAUCCAGUUACUUUAUAGUACCAUUAAAUGGGACUAUUAGGUGUUUACGGGCAAGGGAUGUCCUCAGUAGAGAAAGGAGGCAGCGUGACAUCCUUAGUGCAUUGAGGUGGCAGAGCAGCAUCGGCAGUGGAUGAAUGGGGCAGAACGACGUCUGUUGUGGAUAUGGGUCGAGUAGGCAAAGGAGGGAGACCAAUGAUGCCCAUGGCAAGGCCAUAAACCAUAAUGGUAUACUUUGUGAAUUGGGAAAGGUAUGAGAUGGCUGUAGCUAGAUCGGGUACUCCCUUCUCCAAAAAUUUCUUAGGGGCAAUCAGCACCAAGCCAUCCCUGCAUACUGUAGCUCUUACCCAACUGCCCAUCCCUGUUCCUUCUGCAUUAAAGGGUUCAUUUUCAGAGGUGCUGAAGAAAUCCGCUACAUCCAUUUUAGGCGAAGCUUUGUCAGAUUUUAGUAGUGGAAGUAGAUUCACAUGUUUUUGAAAGGAUUUAGAUCUUGGCUCUAACUGGGCCAUUUCAAUAUCUUCUUUUUGAAGUUAUUCCUUUGAUGACUUGGCAGAACAAUAUCAAAAUGAUAAGGGGCUGAACAACCACCUAAGGGCCUCUGUGGACAGGAAAGCCCCCUAAGGCUGCAUGCUUUAUCAGAUGGUGUGAUCAGAAAGCUGUACUGGAAGAUCUUGAUCUUGAUAUAGGUACAGAGAUAUAAAGCAGCUCAGCCUCACUGAGAUUUAGUUUCAUCUAGAGACUUGCUAUCCAUGAUGAGCAAGGUCUGAGCAGAAACAUGGUUGUCUGGGGGAGUAACAGAGAGGAUGAUUUGAGUGUCAUUAACGUAUCCCUGGUACGAAAACCCAUGUGAGGAUAUGACUUCACUAAAAGAGUGGUUAAAACUAGAGGACAGCAGAAAACCCAGCACUGAGUCUUCUGGGACACCGAGCAUGCCAAAUUGAAUCCCAGCCAUGUCCUUGAAGACUUCCUAGGCUUGGAUGAUAGAGGGCAGAGGAUGUUUCCAAAGGAGUCAGGGUAGGGAAUAGUUACUAGAAUACUGGAAGCCAGAGAGGAAGUGGAGGUUGUGGCAAUUAUGGGAAAUGCAUAAGCAGUUGGAAACAGGAAGGUCAAGGAGGGUUGGGGUGAAAGAUACAAUGGUUGAGCAGGAAUAUUGAUGUCCACGGCCAGGGAGUCUGGCUGAAAUCAGGUCCAAAACAUUUGCACGCAUGUGUGAGAGAUCUGCUGUUGAAAAGAGUGCAAUAGAGAGAUGACUUGUCGGAGGAUAGUAAGAGGGAUGUCCAGUUCUUCGGUGAAGAUUCCAAAGGGGCCUUGAGGGUAAUAGAUAACAAUAAACUGAACACUGAAAGGAGAGGUGACAGCAAAUCCAGGGAACUCAAAGUUAGAGUUGUACAGAUUAGAUAAUGAAAGAGACAGACAUUGCACCUCUAAGGCCAAAGCAAACCACCCCUGCCAGUUCCUCCUGGGGUGUGAGACGGCAUAAUCUGUUAUAGAGCAGCCAUAACACCGGGUUCUCUCGAGGCAUCCAGUGCCAGGGAAGUUUAAACUGAGAUGAAGUCAGCUGUCUGGAUGACAGACUAGGAGAGCACACUUACAGUAUCAUCACUGUUUGUAACGGAGACAACAGUGAAGGGUAGCUGAGGUUACUGAUAGAAAAAUUUUCUUUACUGUAGUGAAAUCCUCUGAGAUAAUACUUAACCCAGAGUAGCUAAUUAAUAAUAGCAAAGUCUAAAGGUCUUGUUGCAGCAGAGUCAAAAGCGAGUGCUGGCAGUUUUGGGGUCAAGGAAUCAUGGAGAAUGAAUUUUAUAAUAUAUGACCUGUGGAAACCAACCAUGGUUCACUGCAGUUAACACAAUGCCUGAUAUGUAAACGGUUGGAUUGGGUACUGAGAGGAUCUCAAGUUUUUUUGUUUAGAUGUUAAAAGGGCCAACUCGAAAAGGUUUGAGAAACUCUGCUGUAAGCAUCUACGGUCUCAAUGGUGGUUCAGCUUCAUUGUGAUAUGCAGUUCCAUAGCACAACCCAGUGGAUCACCAAGAAACAGCACAGAUUCUGAGUAGAGAUUUAAAACUGCUUUAAAGCUUCAGUCAAACAAGUUCUCUGAUCUCUUAUAGAUUUAUUUUCAUUUGUAUCCCAUGUCUAUGUUAUUAAUGUAUAGCGUAGUAUCACAUAUAUGGUUUAUAUUUUGCCCAGCACUUGUUUCAUAGAGGGUUACACUCCUCUCCCGUUCAUUUGUAUAACGGCACACCACAAUUUACAUUGGCUCCAAUUAUAAUUACAAAACUGAGAUUGUAGAACAUAAAUUCUUACUCAAAUUUGCAUGGCACUCGCAAGCUCUUGCACAGAAUAUUUUUCUUAUAUAUAUAUAUAUAUGACAGUAUCAGUAAUAAGGGUCAUUUCCAGAGGCUUCUGCUGCUACAGAGUGCAAUUGGAUCUGCUGCCAUUGCUCUCUAAAUGUGAAGACAUUUCUCUCUCUCUCUUUUUUUUAAACAAAUACCCCAUUAUACCAUUAGAGUGUCCCAUUAUCCCAUCUGCUCUAUUGCUAAUUAACUCAUCUCUGCCUUGCAGUCAUUAAUUAUUUAAUUCACCAUGCUAGCAUGCAAUAUAAUCAUACAGCUUCAAAUGGAGUCCUAGAGCAGGAAGAAAACAUGCAGACAAUGGAAUGAAUUUAAGGAUUGCUUUGGACGCCCAGCUUUUGUUCUUAACUCUGUCGCACAGCUUGCAUUGAGAGCAAGUAGAAGGAUUCGGCUAAUUUCACUUGUUGGUGCAGAAGUUUCAGCUUCCGGACAUCUGCAAACAGAUAUGAAAGAGGAGCUGAAGCAUGAAGGGCUGUGUGUAAAUUUUGGGUGGGAAACCGAAACUGCAUGCAAAUCUAAUCCUUGAGGGCACUGAUUUUAAAAAAAAAUUCUCUACAUUUGGUGUUGAUUUACAAAUGUAAAGUAAAGAUUCAUUCUUUCUGUCACUAACUGCCACCAACCUCUAUUACAUGGACCUACUUCUGUAAUCCCAACACUCUUUACCCAGGUUUACUAGAACUGAAGAGUUUAUCUUCAGCUUUCCAUUCUUGGGAAACCAGAGUUGGGCUUUGUAACCCACAUUCUUUAAAAAAGCGUGCAAAUAAAUCCCAUUUACGUAU